CCUACGGGAGGCAGCAGUGAGGAAUAUUGGUCAAUGGACGAGAGUCUGAACCAGCCAAGUAGCGUGAAGGAUGACUGCCCUAUGGGUUGUAAACUGCUUUUAUAAAGGAAUAAAACGAGGCACGUGUGCCUUUUUGCAUGUACUUUAUGAAUAAGGAUCGGCUAACUCCGUGCCAGCAGCCGCGGUAAUACGGAGGAUCCGAGCGUUAUCCGGAUUUAUUGGGUUUAAAGGGAGCGUAGGUGGGUUGUUAAGUCAGUUGUGAAAGUUUGCGGCUCAACCGUAAAAUUGCAAUUGAUACUGGUAGUCUUGAGUACAGUUGAGGUAGGCGGAAUUCGUGGUGUAGCGGUGAAAUGCUUAGAUAUCACGAAGAACCCCGAUUGCGAAGGCAGCUUACUAAACUGUGACUGACAUUGAUGCUCGAAAGUGUGGGUAUCAAACAGGAUUAGAUACCCUGGUAGUC
rnacentral:rRNA from 1 species